AUUACUAAGUAUGGCUCCUCUACGAUCGCG
rnacentral:sRNA from 1 species